rnacentral:rRNA from 1 species
UACAUAGGGUGCAAGCGUUAUCCGGAAUUAUUGGGCGUAAAGAGCUCGUAGGCGGUUUGUCGCGUCUGCUGUGAAAACUGGAGGCUCAACCUCCAGCCUGCAGUGGGUACGGGCAGACUAGAGUGCGGUAGGGGAGAUUGGAAUUCCUGGUGUAGCGGUGGAAUGCGCAGAUAUCAGGAGGAACACCGAUGGCGAAGGCAGAUCUCUGGGCCGUAACUGACGCUGAGGAGCGAAAAGCAUGGGGAGCGAACAGG